rnacentral:rRNA from 1 species
UCGGGAUGCUUUACACAUGCAAGUCGAACGGCAGCACAGAGGAACUUGUUCCUUGGGUGGCGAGUGGCGGACGGGUGAGUAAUGUAUCGGAACGUGCCCAGUAGUGGGGGAUAACUACGCGAAAGCGUGGCUAAUACCGCAUAUUCUCUACGGAGGAAAGGGGGGGAUCAUUUGACCUCUCGCUAUUGGAGCGGCCGAUAUUAGAUUAGCUAGUUGGUGGGGUAACGGCCUACCAAGGCAGUGAUCUAUAGCUGGUUUGAGAGGACGACCAGCCACACUGGGACUGAGACACGGCCCAGACUCCUACGGGAGGCAGCAGUGGGGAAUUUUCGACAAUGGGGGGAACCCUGAUCGAGCCAUCCCGCGUGUGGGACGAAGGCCUUCGGGUUGUAAACCACUUUUCUCAACGAAGAAAAGUCUUAGGCUAAUACCUUAAGAUGCUGACGGUAGUUGAGGAAUAAGCACCGGCUAACUAUGUGCCAGCAGCCGCGGUAAUACAUAGGGUGCAAGCGUUAAUCGGAAUUACUGGGCGUAAAGGGUGCGCAGGCGGCUUGGAAAGAACGGUGUGAAAUCCCGGGGCUCAACCUCGGAACUGCACUAUUAACUAUCAAGCUAGAGUAUGUCAGAGGGGGGUGGAAUUCCGCGUGUAGCAGUGAAAUGCGUAGAUAUGCGGAGGAACACCAAUGGCGAAGGCAGCCCCCUGGGAUAAUACUGACGCUCAGGCACGAAAGCGUGGGUAGCAAACAGGAUUAGAUACCCUGGUAGUCCACGCCCUAAACGAUGUCAACUAGCUGUUGGGCCGGUUACGGCUUAGUAGCGCAGCUAACGCGUGAAGUUGACCGCCUGGGGACUACGGUCGCAAGACUAAAACUCAAAGGAAUUGACGGGGACCCGCACAAGCGGUGGAUGAUGUGGAUUAAUUCGAUGCAACGCGAAAAACCUUACCUACCCUUGACAUGCCUGGAAGCUUUAAGAGAUUAAAGUGUGCUCGCAAGAGAACCGGUGCACAGGUGCUGCAUGGCUGUCGUCAGCUCGUGUCGUGA